rnacentral:rRNA from 1 species
UACGUAGGAGGCGAGCGUUGUCCGGAGUUACUGGGCGUAAAGGGUGCGUAGGCGGCCGCGCGCGUGGCGGGUGAAAUCUCCCGGCUUACCCGGGAGGGGGCUUGCCAGACGGCGCGGCUUGAGGGACGGAGAGGGGCGUGGAAUUCCGGGUGGAGCGGUGAAAUGCGUAGAGAUCCGGAGGAACACCGACGGCGUAGGCAGCGCCCUGGCCGUGCAAUAACCCUGACGCUGAAGCACGAAAGCUGGGGGAGCGAACAGGAUUAGAUACCCUGGUAGUCCCAGCCCUAAACGAUGUCCACCGGGUGCUGGGGGUAUCGACCCCCUCGGUGCCGCAGCUAACGUGGUGAGUGGACCGCCUGGGGAGUACGGCCGCAAGGUUGAA